rnacentral:rRNA from 1 species
UAUCUCUGUAGAGUCUGCAUAUCAAUAAGCGGAGGAAAAGAAACUAACAAGGAUUCCCUCAGUAACGGCGAGUGAAGCGGGAAGAGCUCAAAUUUGAAAUCUUCAAGGUUCUACCUUGACGAAUUGUAGUUUAAAGAAGUGUUUUCUGUUGGAGUUUUGGUAAAAGUUCUUUGGAAUAGGACAUCAUAGAGGGUGAGAAUCCCGUAUUUGACCAUUACUUCCAGCGUUGUGAUACACUUUCAAAGAGUCGGAUUGUUUGGGAAUGCAGUCCAAAAUGGGUGGUAAAUUUCAUCUAAAGCUAGAUACUGGCGAGAGACCGAUAGCGAACAAGUACCGUGAGGGAAAGAUGAAAAGAACUUUGAAAAGAGAGUUAAACAGUACGUGAAAUUGUCAAAAGGGAAGCGUUUGACACCAGUGUUGUUUUCUCGAAAAUCAAUUAAAAAAGGCAGGAUUUUGUGUUGUAUUGACUUUAUCAGCUUUCUGCACUCUUUUCUUGUCUUUUUUAAUGCACUUUUCGUUUAACAAGUCAACAUCAAUUUCUUUUGUUGUAAAAGGGUCAUUGGAAGGUGGCUUUCUUUUCGGAGAAAGUGUUUAUAGCCUUUGGCCUCUGCAAUCGGAGAGAUUGAGGUCUGCAGCGUAGAUCCUUCGGGGUUAGAUACAUUUGUGCUAAGUUAUAGCCUUUCAUAGACAACUUGUUGACUAUGAUCAGUCAUGUAGCUUACUCGCUUAUGCUAUUUUACCUACGCUUAGGAUGUUGAAGAUGUAGCACAUCAU